rnacentral:lncRNA from 1 species
GAAUUGAAUAUAAAGACUUCAUAUUUUUAUUUUUUGAUAAUCAAACAACUUCAUUAAACAACAGAAGUAUUACAAGAGACAAACAUCAUUCAAAGGAAGGGGAUAUCCCAACCAAGACUUGUUCCCUACUUGCAUAGCAUAACCUACAAUUCUAUGGGCUAAAACAUUCAAAUCUCUACCAAUAAAGUUAACAGAAACCUUACUAAAAGCAUUCAUAAUAGUUUAACAAUCUGCCACAAUGUGUUCAAUACUAGCAAUAGAAUUAGAGCCCCUAAUGCAUUCCACUACAGCCAACGCAUCUGACUGCACAACAAUUUCUUUAAUUCUUGGGUUAAUGGUGUUUUACCUCCUGUAAUAUAGGUCAUUUUUGGUUUUCCCCCCUGUAAUAUAGGUCAUUUUUGGUUUUCCGCCCUGUAAAAUAUUUUUUUUGAUUUACCCCCUGUAAAAAAAAAAAAAUUGGAAUACCCCCCUAAUAGGUCAUAAAAAAACGAAAAAGUUAUGCAAAAAAAAUAAUAAAGUCGUUUUUUUAUGACCUAUUAGGGGGGUAUUCCAAAAAAAAAAUAUUUUACAGGGGGUAAAUCAAAAAAAAUAUUUUACAGGGGAGAAAACCAAAAAUGACCUAUAUUACAGGGGGGUAAAGCACCAUUAACCCUUAAUUCUUUGAUCCUUCGCAAGCUGCAUACACCAUCGGAUGCCAAGAGCUUCAGCAGUUUUAGGAUCAGCUGUCAUUUGUUCCUUUUUGCAAGCUGAGAAUGUUGUUAAACUUGUAUAGUCCUUGAACACGCAAACAUACGCAGUAUAGCCGUCCGAGAAACAACCUGCAUCAACAGAAAUCACAUGAGCAUGAGAAAUUUGAACUUGGCUCCUGUUGUGCGCCAUGCUUCCUACUCUUCGUCUUCUUUGGGACAGCUUCAUUAAAAUCCACAACAAAAUCCCUUGCUGCAUUAGCUAUCUCAGGGGGAAAGGGAUUAGCUUGAUUGAAAAUAAUUUGAUUUCUAGCAUACAACAGUUUCCACAUAAUUGAACAAAAGAUUUGGGCUCCUAAAGUAUCCUUGCCCAUGAGCCAUUUGUGAAGCCAUUGAUUUAAGGUAGAGUCUAAUGGAACAUGGACCCCAAGGCUAGAUGAGAACCAUACAACCUGUGCAAAGUUACAUCGCAUGAAGAGGUGUUCUGAUGUUUCCGGUUCAAGGUUGCAAAGCGGGCACACAGAGUCAAUUUUAAUUCCUUUUUUACACAGGUUUCCUCUUGUAGGUAAGAUAUUUUUUGCCGUUCUCCAAAGAAAAUUAUUGACCCUAUUUGGGAGGUUGAUACUCCAAAUUCCUUUCCACGGUUUGUCAUUUGUAGUAGAUGAAGCUGGUAAUUCUUUCCUUCUUUCCUCUCCCAACAGGUGGUAAGCUGACCGGACUGAGUACUUUCCAUCUUUCUCUCCAUCCCAUAUAAAUGUAUCUUCUGGGAGUCUGAAAGAUAAAGGAAUACUAGUAAUUUGCCUUGCUUCAAAAGUGUUGAAAAUAGAGAAAAUCAAGUCUCUUUUCCAUUGCUUGGUGUCCUGGUCAAUGAGAGCACUCACAACAGCAUCCUCAUGGAGAAUCUUCACUUGGCUCUGAACUCUCAAAGUGCUCAAGCUUGGGAGUCAGUUGUCCUUCCAAAUUUUGGUUGUCUCGUCAUUUCCAAUCCACCAUUUUCCCCCUUUUUCAAUUACUACUCUGGCACUCAUGAUACUCCUCCAGGCAUAGCUAGGCAUGUAACCUACUUUUGCAUCCAUGAAACUCCCUCAAGGAUGAUAGCGGCUUUUGAAUACUUUCCCCAUCAAAGUAUGCUCCCCAGUCUGCAAUCUCCAAAAAUGCUUACCAAGCAGUGCACUGUUAAAGUUGCUAAAUCCUCAUAACCCCAGACCCCCUUUGUUUUUUGUAGUAGACAUACGUUCCCAGCUCAUCCAGUGAAUUUUCCAAUUCAUAAAGACUUCAUAUUUACUUCAAAAUGAGUUGAAUAAUAAAUUUAAAGUUAAAAUUCAUUGGUAAGGCUAAAAAUAUAUCUCAGUUUCAAGUUAGAAUCUACUGCGUAGAAGUAAAAACAAAUCAACUCAUAAACACUCGAACAUGUUAAAACUCAGCCUUAUAUUUCUAGAAUAAAUUUUACCACACAAAAGUUAAUUAAAACAUCAGGUACAGCUUAAUGAUGAGAAAUAAAAUUAUUUAUUUAUUUUUUCCAAAAGCUAUCUUGGGAGGCUAGAAUAAAAAAGAACAUAUUUUUCCAGAAUAAGCUAAUCCAAACAUGCACUAGAUAAGAUAUCAAGUUUAGACUUCCAAUUCAUAAUUCAAACUACUAUCUAACUCAAGUUUCCUGCAUCACGAAAUAUGUAUCGUGUUCAAUUAGUUUUCUUGAAGAAAAUAUUUUUCUUCUAGUCAUUACUAUACCAUCAGAGUAGCUGGACACAUGAUAAAUGAAACCAUUUAUUUUGGGCUGGAAAUCUACAUACAGAAGUGUUUUGGGUUAAUAACACAAUAUGGUUGGAUUGCCAGCUAUAAGAUUUACGAAGGAUGAACAAAAGGUAAAAUCAUGAUUCAUGGAGGCAAAAGAAGUACACAAGGUUUCAGUCCUAGUGAAGAGCAAAAUAAUGAAGUGCAAUUAAGACAUUGUUUUCAAUAAAACAAUAUUCUGCAGACUAUAUAGCCGAAAUAAAACGAGGUAAUAAAGCAAGUGUGUGACAUCCAUGUUUUAAAACUCAAUACCUAUUGAUAAAACAAUUGAUUUGAAUCCAUCUUGAGUUCUCUAAUAAAGGGGUCCCUACUCCCUAGCAGCAAUAAGUUGAUCAGUAGAUACAGAAAAGAAGAAAAAAAGUCGAAGACAUUUGAUUUUAGGCAUCGGACAAACUGUUACUUUAGGAAAAAACAGUUAAACUUGUGGCAACAGAAUCUGAAAUCUGAAUUGACAAUACAAACUCCAAAGGAUGCCAGGUAUAUACAAGCAUCACAAAUAAAUCAAUUGUCCAUGUUAAGUCGCAAAACCUAAUCCACUAUCCCGAGUUUCACUCAGAAUUGCAGGCAAAACGUCCCAUUGUCCGUGCACACGUAUU